AAGACCCGUUGAAGCAGCAGGAGCACCCAGUCAAGGUACACAUAAUGGCGGCAGCUUUAUUCCUACUAUUUCUACACAACAGCCCUUUCGUGGCAGCCAGGGCCAAGCUGGCCCGAGUAGACAGGCCAAGGCCGGAGACAUGUGCUAUUCAUGUGCCAACUUUGGGCACUGGGCUAGAGAUUGCCGAGCUAAGGACAAAAAAUCUGGAUACAGAGGAGGUGCCGUUUUAAGAGUAUGGACCACACAGUGACAUUUUUCAGAAAACGUUCGUCACUGGACAUGGUAUUAUUUGGUCAUCGGACUAUGUUUGUACAGAUGUACUUUGUCACCGGACCUACACUGGAAGUGUACUUGCCUACUUGGUCACUGGACCCCUGAGAAGUAUUUUAUUUGGUCAUUGGACCUUUUUUGUGUUCACCACUGGGUGAUAGUUGGUCACUGGGCCACAUCUGGCCAUUAGAGAUCGUAUGUUAAUUGAAUGAACUGAUGCCAUUGUGUAUUAUUUGAAUGAACUGAGACCAUAGUGGUGAAAACU